rnacentral:tRNA from 1 species
GUGUAGCCAAGUGGAUUAAGGCAGUGGAUUGUGAAUCCACCACGCGCGGGUUCAAUUCUAUCACAGGCA